rnacentral:lncRNA from 1 species
AGAGAUAAUCAGAACACAAAUUGAUAGUAAACAAGAUGGUUGUUUUUCUACUCCAUAUGAUCAUUAAAGGAAUAUGUCAGACAUCUUUUUCAUACAGUCUGUUACGCAUAUUUUCCUCUACUCUUCAUUAAUAAAGCUUUUAUGUUUACAUUUUAUAACAUGCACUACUAGAUACAAAAGUUUACAUCAAAGUUUACUUUAAAUAUCAUUUGGUAGGGACUAAAUGUGUGUGAUACAGAUAAUUGAUCAAGCCAAAAGAAAUAUUUUUUAAAUAAGCCCUAUUCAAAAGUUUUUGAAUUUAUAGAAAGUACCAAUGAAUAACAUAUUUCUGUUUAGUUAAUGUCAGCUCUCUGAACAUUCAGCAGCUUAUAAAUUGCUUAAUUUGUGUUAUCAUCCAAUAAACCCAUAGUUCCAUGAUAUGUCACAGGAAGUGUUAGGUCCUAUUUUAAAGGUACAGUUUUGUGAAUGUCAUCAAUAAAAUCAACAAUUAUGGAUUUGAAGAAGUUGAAAAACAUUAUGUAGAUUAAUAUACUGAUUGGUUCCCUAUCUCUGUGGAAGGUCAUAUUAGCUGCAGUUAUUUAAUUCGCUGUGUUAUUUUGUGUUAUAUAACACAAAUGUAUUUGUAUAUUAACUUCAUUUUUACUGUCAUUUUUCCUGUUGUAUACAAAAUGAACUAAUCUUGUAAUUAUUUUCAAAUAUAAAAGUAUAUACAUUUACCUUCCAUAGAUUUCCAAGAUUUUGUAAGAAAAUCUUAAGUCAGUGUUUUGAGUUAUUUAAUUUUUAAAUUAAUCUACAAAUUAUGCACAACAAAUGGGAGACUCAGUUAGGAUUAGAAAGCUUAAAGUAUGUUUGAGUGUAGGAAAUAAGCUUCUUAGAGUUAUACUUGAUUCCGUCUGUAGAUAAGAGACAGUCUGCAGUAAUAACUAACCCAGGGAAUUUAUUGUAAUUUGAGAGGUAACAUCUCUAUUUUUUUUUCUUUCUAAAUACUAAGAAAGUAAUAGUCACCAGCAAGCCACGAUUUCAGGAAAACUGACCAAAAAAAAAAAUAAAGUCAAAAUAGAAAAUAUCAGAGAAAUGAAAGAUGUUUAUGUGCCCUCUCCAUAUCCUCAUUGUUUUGUUGCAUUUGUCCUUGACUGUAAAAUCCUUGAAGUAUUCAUGAUUAGUAGUUUGUAAGUAGGAAGUGGUUUUUCUGUAUGUACCAUAUAUCCAGUCAUUUCAGUUUUCAAACUAAAAACCAUAUAUAUUUGCUGAGAAAGUUAUUUGAAAUCUUAUAUUCUGACAAAUUCUGUACAUUACAUCCAUUUAAAGUUU